GACGUAGGGCGCGAGCGUUGUCCGGAUUUAUUGGGCGUAAAGAGCUCGUAGGCGGCUUGUUGCGUCGACCGUGAAAACCCGUGGCUUAACUGCGGGCUUGCGGUCGAUACGGGCGGGCUGGAGUUCGGUAGGGGAGACUGGAAUUCCUGGUGUAGCGGUGAAAUGCGCAGAUAUCAGGAAGAACACCCGUGGCGAAGGCGGCUCUCUGGGACGGUACUGACGCUGAGACGCGAAAGCGUGGGGAGCGAACAGG
rnacentral:rRNA from 1 species